CAGUUUUCCAUCUUUCUUAGCCUUGCACAAUGUUUGGUUUGUUUUUUUAAUUUCAGGGAUAAUUUUUUUAACUAGUACUUUGCAAGUAAUAAUUGGUCACUUAGUUUUUAGAAGAUACUGUGAUUAUCACUUCCUGCCCAAGGUCAAGAAAUAUUCACUGAUGACCUACUCUCUGCUAGGCCAAGGGCUGGGCGCUCAAGGCACGGAGUUAAAUAAGGAGACGUCCACAAAGAGCUCCUUUCCAGAGAACACGGUAAGGGUUCCGAGUAAGGGGUGCGGAGGGUCCCCUGAGGAAGCAGGUGGGGCAUCGAGUUUGGAGUGCGGUGUCUUUUGAACAAGGGGAGGCAGUGGUUUGAGGGAAGGCUAGUCCAGCCACUAGGGCCAAGAUUGUGUGCGUGAGAAUGGAGGUGACACAGACACAUGAGCAAAGGUCUCCUCAGGAGAGAGUGCACACAGCGGAGACGUCUCUGUCCACUGAGCCCACGUUCGCUGUUUCGCUGUGUGUUUGUUUUCUUCUUCACAGUCCCCCUUUCUCUCUCUAGGCCUGUCGCCAGCUUUGUCGAAUCACUUUGGGAGUAGGUAUGAGCUGUACUGGAAUAUUUCUUUUUCUUUGAAAGGAAUUUACUCUCCUCAGGAAAAAAGAACGCUCACGUGAUGUACAAACGGCAUAUCUACAACGAGGAGUGAGCGUCCAUCCCUGAGUUUCUUAGAGAUUCUUGCCUAAGGUGACUGGUUCACAAAGGGGUCAAGGACCAAGAAAGGAGGGAAAGAAGAAGGAAUUUUAACCCAAGUGUGAGCACUGCUGCUGAUAAGAGUGGACUGAGCUGUUUACGACAAAGGCCGUAUCCAGCUCAGCUGUCCAGUCCAAAUUCCCGUCCUCCUGUUCACCUUCAUUCUCCCGGCUCAGCCUCUCCCUCCAGCUGCCUCAGCCAGGGUCCUGGCUGUGUAUAGCUCACAGAGGAACCUGGAGACGGGUGGUCUCAGAUGAGCACGGCAGCCCAGGAUGCUUUCAAGGACCCUCGGUCUCUCUGCUCCACCAUCGCUUGCACAUGUAUUCCAUCCUCAGGGUCACCUUGUGGUCCAAGAUGGCAGCUGGAGCUCCAGCGUUUAUAUCUGCUUUUCAAUCCUUCUGGAAGGAGCAGAAUAAAGACAAAAGGAAAUCUGGAAGGAGGUGGUUACUGACUUUGGUUCAGGCACCCUAACCUCCCCUUCUCGUCCUGAAAGCAGAAGAUAAAACUUCCAUGUGAAAGAUGCCCUCCCUAUACCAGGAGGAGAGGAACGUUGGCAUCACCAGAGAUGGGAAGUUGUCGCCAAGGAAAACCUGUACAAACAGACCGUGUGAAGUUAACUUUUAUCUUCCUUUAGCCUCCCCGUACAUUUUAGUUACUUUUUCACAAUUACUACUCUUUGGUCAACCUAGUAUAUAAGCA
rnacentral:lncRNA from 1 species